rnacentral:rRNA from 1 species
GCUAAUACCGCAUACGCCCUACGGGGGAAAGCAGGGGAUCUUCGGACCUUGCGCUAAUAGAUGAGCCUAAGUCGGAUUAGCUAGUUGGUGGGGUAAAGGCUUACCAAGGCGACGAUCUGUAGCGGGUCUGAGAGGAUGAUCCGCCACACUGGGACUGAGACACGGCCCAGACUCCUACGGGAGGCAGCAGUGGGGAAUAUUGGACAAUGGGCGGAAGCCUGAUCCAGCCAUGCCGCGUGUGUGAAGAAGGCCUUUUGGUUGUAAAGCACUUUAAGCGAGGAGGAGGCUCCUUUAGUUAAUACCUAAAGAGAGUGGACGUUACUCGCAGAAUAAGCACCGGCUAACUCUGUGCCAGCAGCCGCGGUAAUACAGAGGGUGCGAGCGUUAAUCGGAUUUACUGGGCGUAAAGCGUGCGUAGGCGGCUUUUUAAGUCGGAUGUGAAAUCCCUGAGCUUAACUUAGGAAUUGCAUUCGAUACUGGAAAGCUAGAGUAUGGGAGAGGAUGGUAGAAUUCCAGGUGUAGCGGUGAAAUGCGUAGAGAUCUGGAGGAAUACCGAUGGCGAAGGCAGCCAUCUGGCCUAAUACUGACGCUGAGGUACGAAAGCAUGGGGAGCAAACAGGAUUAGAUACCCUGGUAGUCCAUGCCGUAAACGAUGUCUACUAGCCGUUGGGGCCUUUGAGGCUUUAGUGGCGCAGCUAACGCGAUAAGUAGACCGCCUGGGGAGUACGGUCGCAAGACUAAAACUCAAAUGAAUUGACGGGGGCCCGCACAAGCGGUGGAGCAUGUGGUUUAAUUCGAUGCAACGCGAAGAACCUUACCUGGCCUUGACAUACUAAGAACUUUCCAGAGAUGGAUUGGUGCCUUCGGGAACUUAGAUACAGGUGCUGCAUGGCUGUCGUCAGCUCGUGUCGUGAGAUGUUGGGUUAAGUCCCGCAACGAGCGCAACCCUUUUCCUUAUUUGCCAGCNNNNNNNNNNNNNNNNNUGAAGUCGGAAUCGCUAGUAAUCGCGGAUCAGAAUGCCGCGGUGAAUACGUUCCCGGGCCUUGUACACACCGCCCGUCACACCAUGGGAGUUUGUUGCACCAGAAGUAGGUAGUCUAACCGCAAGGAGGACGCUUACCACGGUGUGGCCGAUGACUGGGGUGAAGUCGUAACAAGGUAGCCGUAGGGGAACCUGCGGCUGGAUCACCUCCUUA